UGCUCGCGUUUUAAAAAUCUGUGCUGAUGCUCAUUUCUCCCCUGUUUGUGUUUCUGCAGCAAAUUGCCUCAUCUGUUAAACGGGAAGGUGAUGCAUCUGGAGGGAUGAAACAUUUAUCGGAGGACGAUUUUUCAUUACGGCGAGGGGAGAGCUUCCAUCAAUAUUUCAAUGGCCCUGCCUGCCCACAGUGUGUGUGUGUGUGUGUGUGUGUGUGUGUGUGUGUGUGUGUGUGUGUGUGUGUGUGUGUGUGUCGGCAACUAUUAUAAUGACAAAAUGUCCCCACUAGGAUGGACAGAAUGCUUCAAAGCAAGGACACUGGGAUGUGUCUCACUUCUCCACGAGCACCCAGGGAUCCUGUGUGUUGAGCUGACCGAUCUGUCGGCGCCACGGGGCCAGUGUGACUUCACAGCGAGCCAGAAACGCAGGCGAGCUGAUGGAGAGCUGAACUCGCGUCACCCGCCUGCUUAUUAGAGGCGCAAGAAGGUGAAACCAGCUCUGGUUUGGGCUUCUUCUUCUUUAUAUUGUUGGUAAAUGUUACCCACUUACAUUUUUACAGUGUUUAGCGGCACAAACAAUCAGUAAUAUUUGAUUAAAGAAAAGCCACGUUCCCACAGCCUGCAAGAAGUUUCUGUUUACUUUUGUAAGUGUUUGCUAGAAACUAAAUUGAACCACACAGAGACUGCAAAUAAGAGGUAUUAACUGAAUGUAAAUACAUUCUAUUCAUAUUGCAUCAGGACGGAGCCAAUAUUAAUAUAAUCCAGGCCGAUUAUUUGUCUUUUGUUGGACUGUAAACACACUGGGCCGAGUUUGUAAAAAUCCCCGGACUGCGUGUUAUUAAAUGCAGAAUGUAAACUCACAACGUUCCCAGAGACAAACAGCAAGGACGUGAAUUUAUUUUGCUGGUGGCUGCGGCGCUGCUCAGACACAGAGAGCUGGAAAUUUCAUGCGCAACACUGAUACAAGAAGUAGCUGAUAGAAUGUGCUCUUUAAACGUGUGGGUGAGCUGCAGAGGUGGCAGCAACACACAAUACGCAAGUAAAAGUGCGAGUCCUUGUCUCGAGCACCACUUCAGAGUCUUUACUCGGGUUGAGUGAGUACACGCUCUGAAAUGUACUCAAGGUACAAAAGUACAAGUGCUUCAAUAAGAAAAUCAUAGAUUUUAAACACACCUGCAUCCGAUAACGAUGAAUCCCAGUUCAGCUUCGCCUCCAAUCGCAUUCAACGUGUUUAUUCCAUUAUUUAAUCACUCAUUUAUUUACAUCCUGUUCCCUGAAUUGGUUUUAACACAAAUGGGGAAAAAUACAUUAAACACCAACAAAUGCUGUAACUUGAAAUGUAUAUUUUAAUACUUAUAUUGAAAUGAAAAAGAGCAGGGGAACGUCAUUAAAUUAUUCUCUUCAUUAAAUCUCCAGGGGACGUGACAUCUUAUGGAAAGAUAUUGUGAUGUUUUCUUUAUGGAAUCGCCUGCAGCUCAGAAGCAGGAAGACAUUUUAUACGGUUUACGUCUACAUCACCUCCUCCAUCUUCUGCUCAGGCAGAAACCCAGCGCGUCUGAGGCUGCUCGAACGGUGCGACCCCUCGGUGCGGUACCUUUGGCUGAUGCCGCCCGGACCCGGGUACGGGUCCGCUAUUCGCUGCCAGCCGCCCAUAAAACAUCAGGGCUCCUCUCAGGCUUUUAAAAAAAAACUACAAAGCAAAGAGGCCUUUUUAAGUCUAGCGCUGGGACGCCGUCGCGAGCACGACGCCGGGCUCCUCGUCGACAUCAAACGGCUGGCGGAGGACUCGCCAAGCAGCUGGUGCAGAUGGCCGGACUCAGGCAGGACAUUCUAAUGAGAAGGAGGCAGGGCAUUAGUAGUCUGGGAAGGGUGGCAGCGCCCAGGAGGCCGCAGGAGCACACGCAUGCGUCCAUGCAGCUCCGAGGAGGAGGCUUUAAGCGCUGGGAGCUGGAGGAUUCUCCCAGUCUGCGGGGGAAAGUGGGGGUUAAUGGGUUCGUCGGCUCCAGCCGACAGCAGGCGGACACUGCCACCUAGUGGAGUGACUGGGUAACAGCCUGACCUGCAGCGGCAGACGGAGGGACGCGUCACGAGGUGGCGAAAGGUAAGGAACAGGAAGUGGAAAAAGAAGUGUAAAUCUACCCAGAAACACGGAGAAGAUGUGGGAAUCAUUAACCCAUAACAACAAUUAUUUUAAAAACAGCUCUGUGAUAAAAAAAAAAUAAUAAUAAUAAUAAAACAAAAAAAAAUUGUUUUUGCCUAAACUGAAAUGGAUUGAAAUGUUAUGCUUCUGUAAAAUGUGAUGACAGAUCACUUAUUUCCCUGAAUGUAAUUUUUAACCCUAACUUUUUAUAGUGUAUAGUGUAUUUUAUAGUGUUAUUUCAAAAUGACGUGGAUGAAGCGUGUGUACGAACCGAGCAGUGGAGCCGUUCACCACCAGUCGCCAGCAGAGGGCAGUGUUCAGCAGCGUUGGUCCCGUACGCCUCGCCGGCCCACGGCUCUGCGUUGUGCAGAAAACAACGAGUGAUCUAGUUUGUGGUCAUAAAAGCAAAAGAGUCCAAAAGGCAACGCCAGAACUAAACUGAUCAUUAGGAGAUCACUACUAGAGCACGUUUUCCAUGAUGACUACAAUUAAAGUGUAUCUAUUUCAAUAAUUUAUCGCCAUUAGUUGUUGAAUUAUGUUUAUGACAUUUAGUUGAAAUAUGCAAAUUAAUGUUAUCCAUACCAGUGUGGAUGCUAUAUACAGUAGUACUUAAAUAAACUUUUGGUCAGCUCUACUUGAAGGCAACACAAAGAAAAGAUGUAUAUUAUUAACACUUAGGUGUAAAUGUUUUUCAUCUCCUAAACUAUAGCAGAAAUCACAUGAUCACAUUCCUCGCUUCAGUUUGGAAAUGGUCUAAACUCUUUUAUUGUUGAGUCUUUCAGAGUUUGGUCCGAUCGAAGCGCGUUUCAGCUUCAGCCCUUCGGUGCAGUCCGUCCUCUCACUGCUGGAGGCUGAGCAUGUGUUCAGUGUGACUCAGCCAUCGGAAACGUUUCCUUUUCUGUCUGUUCACAAUUAUGGCUCUUUGUUCUGCCUUCACGAGGACUGGAUUUAUUAGAUCGACGACACCACCAAAACCAAAUCCUGCCACAGCAAUUUGAUCGAUGUCAAUACCUCCGUAUUUCAUGGCCGCUUAUUCUCCCAGCGACUAUAGUUAGCCAUCAGUUACAUUGUGUGAAUCUGUUCUGCACCGGACUGGACCUCAUGAGUUUAAUGAGACUGUGCAAAUAAAAUCGUGGAAAUGUUUAUGAAAACAAUCAGGAGCCAACACAUGUUUAUGAGAUAGAUUUCUAUUUAUUAGAAACCGACAGCACAGUUUAUUUUCAGCAAAGUGUGAACUAACACCUACUAAAUAAUUCAUAUUAAGAGAAUUGAUUCAAAUGAUUGGUGAUUUAUCUUUAUCAAGUCAGGCUUAUUGAACAUGUUUGUGUUAAUUGUUCAUUUGUCAGUGAAAACACGACUUUUCUUCCCAUAAAACCUGGUAAUUAUCCACACAGAUAAAGCACGGGCCUUUUCCUCUGUAAACUCAGAUCAUAUGGGUCCGCUACGGGUUUGGAAUCAGUCACAGCCUGUCCAACAUAAGUCAAGCAGACAGGGAUGAUGGGCUUUAGGAAACCAUUCAUUGCUGCAAACAUACACUCUUCAGGCCCCAUUGAAACGCUGACCUGCUCCAGUGAUCUGAGGGCGCGGUGUCGGCUGCCGUUCUCCUCCAGCGCUCCCACGUUCGCCCUUUGUUGCUUUUGUGUCAUGCGAAGCAACUUGUCACCCCAAAAACAAAAGAGAUUAUCUUCAUCGAACGCGCUAAAAGGAAACCGGUGGAAUGAACAGACAAUAACAUUCAGUGAUAAUGAUGGUAUUUGUGGACGUGAGGAUGUUAAUCGGACUAAUGGAAUGCUGAUGAAAACUAGGACUUCUUCUACCGCUGUUACACACACAUGCACUGUAUUGUUAAGAUCAUUUCUAUUCUUCCUUCGCGUGAUCAUCUAAACUUGCUUCACUUAGGUUUUGAGCUCCAUAUUAGCAGCACACACUCCGUCUGUGCAUGCAUUUCUCUCACACUGUAAGUUUUGUGCGCAAACUCGACAAGUGUUUGCUUUUUCCUGAAUUUCUAGGUUUGUCUCUGCAGUGCAUACAAGAGACGGUUUGUUCCCAAGCAGUGUGUGUGUGUGUUUGUGUGUGUGUGUGUGUAU